rnacentral:rRNA from 1 species
CGACCGCUGGCGGCGUGCUUAACACAUGCAAGUCGAACGGAAAGGCCCUGCUUUUGUGGGGUGCUCGAGUGGCGAACGGGUGAGUAACACGUGAGUAACCUGCCCUUGACUUUGGGAUAACUUCAGGAAACUGGGGCUAAUACCGGAUAGGAGCUCCUGCUGCAUGGUGGGGGUUGGAAAGUUUCGGCGGUUGGGGAUGGACUCGCGGCUUAUCAGCUUGUUGGUGGGGUAGUGGCUUACCAAGGCUUUGACGGGUAGCCGGCCUGAGAGGGUGACCGGCUACAUUGGGACUGAGAUACGGCCCAGACUCCUACGGGAGGCAGCAGUGGGGAAUAUUGCACAAUGGGCGGAAGCCUGAUGCAGCAACGCCGCGUGCGGGAUGACGGCCUUCGGGUUGUAAACCGCUUUCGCCUGUGACGAAGCGUGAGUGACGGUAAUGGGUAAAGAAGCACCGGCUAACUACGUG